rnacentral:tRNA from 1 species
GGGGUUGUAGCUCAGCUGGUUAGAGCGCUUGCCUGUCACGCAGGAGGUCGCGGGUUCGAGCCCCGUCAAUCCCG